GUGCGGUUGAUGAAACUGGUAAACAUAAUGAUUUUCCAAAUCAUCGUCCACCCGGACUUAGGGGUUCAAAUCCCCUACCGCACA
rnacentral:tRNA from 2 species